rnacentral:rRNA from 1 species
UACGGAGGGCGCAAGCGUUAAUCGGAAUCACUGGGCGUAAAGCGCGCGCAGGCGGCGAUCUACGUCUGGGGUGAAAGCCCGGAGCUCAACUCCGGGACUGCCUUGGAUACGGGAUCGCUUGAGGAUUGGAGAGGCAAGGGGAAUUCCACGUGUAGCGGUGAAAUGCGUAGAUAUGUGGAGGAACACCUGUGGCGAAGGCGCCUUGCUGGCCAAUUUCUGACGCUGAGGCGCGAAAGCGUGGGGAGCAAACAGG